UACGAAGGGGGCUAGCGUUGCUCGGAAUCACUGGGCGUAAAGCGCACGUAGGCGGCUUUGUAAGUUAGAGGUGAAAGCCCGGGGCUCAACUCCGGAACUGCCUUUAAGACUGCAUCGCUUGAAUCCAGGAGAGGUGAGUGGAAUUCCGAGUGUAGAGGUGAAAUUCGUAGAUAUUCGGAAGAACACCAGUGGCGAAGGCGGCUCACUGGA
rnacentral:rRNA from 1 species